CAUCCAUCCUGCUCACACUCUCCGACGGAAAAGGCCCGAAUCUGAAUGUGACUCUGGAGGAAAAAGCGGUUAGCUCUACUCCGUGAACUCUGCUGUUAGCUAAACACGGCUAAAGAAAACCUGCUACCACUUCAGGAUCAUCCAUCAGCUGGGACUGCUUCAUCAGCAUGGACACAGGUACUGGUGUGUGUGUGUGUGUGUGUGUGUGUGUGUGUGUGUGUGUGUGUGUGUGUGUGUGUGUGUGUGUGUGUGUGUGUGUGUGUUACAGCAUGGACACAGGUACUGGUGUGUGUGUGUGUGUGUGUGUGUGUGUGUGUGUGUGUGUGUGUGUGUGUGUGUGUGUGUGUACAAGUGAUAAUGCUGCA